AGAAUUAUGUUCCAUCUAUUAAAAAGAAAAGUCCCCGGGGGAGAUGGCUGCAAUAUUUGUGGGAAGAGAAUUAUCUGCACUAGUUAAACCAAACGCAAACAAAGGCAUUCUUGGCAAUAAUACCCUGAGAGCAGCGUUUAGGGAGACAGUAAUUAGGCAAUUAGACCUGGGAGUCGCCGCAGAGCCUCGGGUGCCGCUGGAUGUUAAUGACUCCUGCUCCGCAGUGCAUCAGCCCCCAGCGAGGAUGUAAGCCUGGCCUUUUCUCAGCGCAGAACACCCGGCCUGAUUCCUCUCGCCUCUGCUGCUCUCCGCGAGCAUCCUUUCCCCCAUGCCCGCGGGGCUGGACGCAGCCGGGGCUGGCGGGUGGGACGAGGGGCGCGCGCGGCUGCUCCCCGACUCUCGGCCCUCACCCCCUAACUGCCAGAGCAUCAAGCUAUCACACCAGCGUCCCCUGACCACAGUACUUGGGCACCCUCGGAUAAUCCGAAAUUGCCGCGCGGUUCCUGGCCUUCCACAAGGCAAGAUGUGUUUUAAAAAUACAUUACUGGGGGACUUCCCUGCUGGUUCAGUCGCUAAGACUUGGUGCUCUCAAUUCAAGGGAACGGUUCAUCCCCAGUCAGGGGAUUAGAUCCCACAUGCCAACUACAGAUUCCACAUGCCGGCAACGAAGGUAAAAGAAGAGCCAUGUGCUGCAACUAAGACCCGGUGCAGACAAACGAAUGAAUCAAUACAAAAAAAAAAAAAAAAAAAUACAUUUCUGGGAUACCAGAGAUAUUAUUUCAGAACCCUGUCUUUCAUUUUGCAUUAUUACUGCGCAAAGCUUCCCUUGUACCUCAGUUGGUAAAGAAUCUGCCUGCAAUGCAGGAGACCCGACUUCGAUUCCUGGGUUGGGAAGAUCCCCUGAAGGAAAUGGCAACCCACUCCAGUAU